rnacentral:rRNA from 1 species
UACCAGACUCCUACGGGAGGCAGCAGUGGGGAAUAUUGCACAAUGGGGGAAACCCUGAUGCAGCAACGCCGCGUGAAGGAAGACGGUUUUCGGAUUGUAAACUUCUGUUCUUAGUGAAGAAGAAUGACGGUAGCUAAGGAGCAAGCCACGGCUAACUACGUGCCAGCAGCCGCGGUAAUACGUAGGUGGCAAGCGUUGUCCGGAUUUACUGGGUGUAAAGGGCGUGUAGCCGGGAAGGCAAGUCAGAUGUGAAAUCCGGAGGCUCAACCUCCGAAUUGCAUUUGAAACUGUUUUUCUUGAGUACUGGAGAGGCAGACGGAAUUCCUUGUGUAGCGGUGAAAAGCGUAGAUAUAAGGAGGAACACCAGUGGCGAAGGCGGUCUGCUGGACAGCAACUGACGGUGAGGCGCGAAAGCGUGGGGAGCAAACAGGAUUAGAUACCCUUGUAAU